UGUAGCUCACUGGUAGACUGCCUAGCAUGCAGGAGGCCCAGGCACUGCAAGCUAAGCAGGGUGGAGCCUGUAAUUCUAACACCAGGGAAGUAAAAGGAUCCAAAGUUUGAGAAGCAAACCUGGGGGCUUCUCCCACCACCCACCUGCAGCGGCGGCGGCAUCUGCCGAUGUUUUGGGGCCCCUGAGUCACGUCACCGCUGAAGAGCUGCAGGAGAGGACCCCAGGACCAGCAUUUGCUGAACAAUAUGUUGGGCCCCUGUUGAAAAUGACGGCAGGUCUCAGGGCUACACCCACAGGUGACCCGGCCUGGGACGCAGAGGAUUAAGGUAAGAUUCAUUGCAGAUUUCACUACGCCCGGAUGAUCGCAGGAGGCCGGGCGAAUCUCACAGGCUUUCCAGACUUUUGAGUUUUCAGAUUCUCUCUAGAAGACCGGCCUGAGCAGACUGACUUCCAGAUCGCAGACCAGCUGCCCUGCGGGAAUUGGGAUCCCGGAGCGCCCCCUAGUGGACAUCUGGGCAUGACCGCGCACCCGGUGG